rnacentral:rRNA from 1 species
GAGUUUGAUCCUGGCUCAGAUUGAACGCUGGCGGCAUGCCUUACACAUGCAAGUCGAACGGUAACAGGUCUUCGGAUGCUGACGAGUGGCGAACGGGUGAGUAAUACAUCGGAACGUGCCCGAUCGUGGGGGGAUAACGGAGCGAAAGCUUUGCUAAUACCGCAUACGAUCUACGGAUGAAAGCAGGGACCGCAAGGCCUUGCGCGGACGGAGCGGCCGAUGGCAGAUUAGGUAGUUGGUGGGAUAAAAGCUUACCAAGCCGACGAUCUGUAGCUGGUCUGAGAGGACGACCAGCCACACUGGGACUGAGACACGGCCCAGACUCCUACGGGAGGCAGCAGUGGGGAAUUUUGGACAAUGGGCGAAAGCCUGAUCCAGCCAUGCCGCGUGCAGGAUG